rnacentral:rRNA from 1 species
AGUGAACGCUGGCGGCAGGCCUAAUACAUGCAAGUCGAACGGCAGCACAGCAGAGCUUGCUCUGUGGGUGGCGAGUGGCGGACGGGUGAGGAAUACAUGGGAAUCUGCCCAGUCGUGGGGGAUAACGUAGGGAAACUUACGCUAAUACCGCAUGCGCCCUUCGGGGAAAGCCGGGGACCUUCGGGCCUGGCGCGAUUGGAUGAGCCCAUGUCGGAUUAGCUAGUUGGCGGGGUAAUGGCCCACCAAGGCGACGACCCGUAGCUGGUCUGAGAGGAUGAUCAGCCACACUGGAACUGAGACACGGUCCAGACUCCUACGGGAGGCAGCAGUAGGGAAUAUUGGACAAUGGGCGCAAGCCUGAUCCAGCCAUGCCGCGUGAGUGAAGAAGGCCCUCGGGUUGUAAAGCUCUUUUGUCCGGAAAGAAAGUCGCCGGGUUAAUACCCUAGUGUCCUGACGGUACCGGAAGAAUAAGCACCGGCUAACUUCGUGCCAGCAGCCGCGGUAA